rnacentral:rRNA from 1 species
UACGUAGGCAGCGAGCGUUGUUCGGAGUUACUGGGCGUAAAGGGUGUGUAGGCGGUUCUCCAAGUUUGGUGUGAAAUCUCCCGGCUCAACCGGGAGGGUGCGCCGAAAACUGGAAGGCUGGAGUGCGGAAUGGGAGAGUGGAAUUCCUGGUGUAGCGGUGAAAUGCGUAGAUAUCAGGAGGAACACCGGUGGUGAAGACGGCUCUCUGGACCGUAACUGACGCUGAGACACGAAAGCGUGGGUAGCAAAC